rnacentral:lncRNA from 1 species
GCCAGAUGGACGGUGUGUCCUUCUGAUGAUGUUUUAUCUGUCCCGGAAAAAAAACAGCUGAGGGCCCAGGGGGACUCGAUGGGUCGCUGUAACCUUCUUCCUCUGAGUCCUGCAGAACCCCAUUUAGGUCAUCGCAGACAGGAAGGUAUCCACUCACCCUGGCUUACACUGUUCUUUCUCUGAAGGGGGGUCCUCAUGGGAGUUACCUGGCUGGAAGAGUGUCAUCUGGAGUUGAAAGUUCCUUCCCUUGGCCCUACCCCGACCCCACCCCACCCCCGCCUCUGUCUUUUUUUCCUCGAUAUCCCCCAUAAAGCUCAAAGCUCAACCCCACCACACCCUUCCGCCAUGACACCCUCAUCACGAUCUGAGAACUUGAACUCCAAGAAUCGUCCCUCUUUUAAAAUCGUUUCUCUCAGGUACCACACAAGAGAAAUAUGCAGCCUGUGUACACUGUGGGGAGGAGGCAGGUACUUUCCAGACCUGACGGAUGGGACAACUGAGGCCCAGGUCAUGAUGUCUGACAUUGACCACUGAAUGGACAAGAGUUCACAUCUGGCUCUGUCUCGUCCCAGGCCCUGGUCUCCCUGAACCAUCACUUUAAUAUGUGUUGUAGAAAUGACUUGCGAAUGCUUGUGGCUCUGAUUCAUUUAUUCAUACCUAUGUGUUUGUGAAAAUCCAUCCAUCCAUCCAUCCAUCCAUCCAUCCAUC